GCUUCUGUGGCUCAGUUGGCUAGAGCGUUGGUCUCAUACUGUAGUAUGAUCGCAUGUAGAUGCGAGUAAUCCAAAGGUCGCAAGUUCGAGCCUUGCCAGGAGCA
rfam:Pleurotus ostreatus PC15 unplaced genomic scaffold scaffold_03, whole genome shotgun sequence.